GAUGAACGCUGGCGGCGUGCUUAACACAUGCAAGUCGAACGGUGAACACGGAGCUUGCUCUGUGGGAUCAGUGGCGAACGGGUGAGUAACACGUGAGCAACCUGCCCCUGACUCUGGGAUAAGCGCUGGAAACGGCGUCUAAUACUGGAUAUGUGACGUGACCGCAUGGUCUGCGUUUGGAAAGAUUUUUCGGUUGGGGAUGGGCUCGCGGCCUAUCAGCUUGUUGGUGAGGUAAUGGCUCACCAAGGCGUCGACGGGUAGCCGGCCUGAGAGGGUGACCGGCCACACUGGGACUGAGACACGGCCCAGACUCCUACGGGAGGCAGCAGUGGGGAAUAUUGCACAAUGGGCGCAAGCCUGAUGCAGCAACGCCGCGUGGGGGAUGACGGCCUUCGGGUUGUAAACCUCUUUUAGCAGGGAAGAAGCGAAAGUGACGGUACCUGCAGAAAAAGCGCCGGCUAACUACGUG
rnacentral:rRNA from 1 species